rnacentral:rRNA from 1 species
CGUAGGGUGCGAGCGUUAAUCGGAAUUACUGGGCGUAAAGCGUGCGUAGGCGGUUUGCCGUGUCCUGUGUGAAAGCCCCGGGCUCAACCUGGGAAUUGCAUGGGAAACUGGCAGGCUUGAGUGUGGCAGAGGAGGGUGGAAUUCCGCGUGUAGCAGUGAAAUGCGUAGAGAUGCGGAGGAACACCGAUGGCGAAGGCAGCCCUCUGGGCUAACACUGACGCUCAGGCACGAAAGCGUGGGGAGCAAACAGGAUUAGAUAGCCUGGUAGUCCACGCCCUAAACGAUGUCGACUAGGUGUGGGGAAGCGAUUCCUUGGUACCGUAGCUAACGCGUGAAGUCGACCGCCUGGGGAGUACGGCCGCAAGGUUA